UACGUUGGGGGCUAGCGUUAUCCGGAAUUACUGGGCGUAAAGGGUGCGUAGGUGGUUUCUUAAGUCAGAGGUGAAAGGCUACGGCUCAACCGUAGUAAGCCUUUGAAACUGGGGAACUUGAGUGCAGGAGAGGAGAGUGGAAUUCCUAGUGUAGCGGUGAAAUGCGUAGAUAUUAGGAGGAACACCAGUUGCGAAGGCGGCUCUCUGGACUGUAACUGACACUGAGGCACGAAAGCGUGGGGAGCAAACAGG
rnacentral:rRNA from 1 species